GGAAUAUUGCACAAUGGGGGAAAACCUGAUGCAGCGACGCCGCGUGAGUGAAGAAGUAUUUCGGUAUGUAAAGCUCUAUCAGCAGGGAAGAAAAUGACGGUACCUGACUAAGAAGCCCCGGCUAACUACGUGCCAGCAGCCGCGGUAAUACGUAGGGGGCAAGCGUUAUCCGGAUUCACUGGGCGUAAAGGGAGCGUAGACGGCAUGGCAAGUCUGAUGUGAAAGCUCGGGGCUCAACCCCGGAACUGCAUUGGAAACUGUCAAGCUAGAGUGCAGGAGAGGUAAGUGGCAUUCCUAGUGUAGCGGUGAAAUGCGUAGAUAUUAGGAGGAACACCGGCGGCGAAGGCGGCUUACUGGACUGUAACUGACGUUGAGGCUCGAAAGCGUGGGGAGCAAACA
rnacentral:rRNA from 1 species